CACGUAGGGGACGAGCGUUGUCCGGAUUCAUUGGGCGUAAAGCGCGCGUAGGCGGCUCGGAAAGUCGGUCGUGAAAUGCCGGGGCUCAACCCCGGGACUGCGUCCGAUACUCCCGAGCUGGAGGCAGGUAGGGGAGAUCGGAAUUCCUGGUGUAGCGGUGAAAUGCGCAGAGUAUCAGGAGGAACACCGAUGGCGAAGGCAGGUCUCUGGGCAUUAACUGACGCUGAGGAGCGAAAGCAUGGGGAGCGAACAGG
rnacentral:rRNA from 1 species